AAACCACUUGGGUACUUCUCUGCUUGGAAUCUCACAGGGCAGAGUCUACUUGGCAUGGAUGGGUGCUCAUUUAAGUACUUCAACUGAAAAAGCAGUCAAUGAUUCCCAAAGCGGCCAGUUGGAACAAUUUUUGUUGCCCAGCAUACCCUGAGCCACACACGUUACACAAAAUUAGCAAAAGAAUUAAGUCUCUUAUGCUUAAUGUCUUUGGAGAAUAAAGAUUACUAAUUUUUUCAUGAUGCUGGAGGGAAUUAUUCUUACCAAUUAAGGCAACAAAAUGAUCUUUUUGGUUUUUUUAAAGUCUCUUUUGCAAACUAUCUUAUUUCAAAAAUAUUACCUGACAGAAUAUAUAACUUCAAGAAUAAACUCUGUGCACUUUGGACGAUAAUGAUGUGUUAAGGUAAGCGCCAUCAUGAUAAAGAUUGAGAUAAGAAAAAUCAAUAGAUAUUAAAUCCUGGGGAAAAUUCUAAUGAGCAGGGUAACUGCAUGGUCUGUCUCUCCACGGACUACUCAGCUGCAAGAAAAGACAAAUACAGGAAUUCUGCAGUGGAGAAGGUAAAAAGCAUCCUGAGUGGGUGAUCAAAUUAAUAUCACCAAUGAGGGGACAGGAGGCCACUGUGGCCUCCAGAGUGUCCAGGAAACACUCCUGCCCAGGCAGUGUUCCAGCCUAGAAUGCACAGAAUUCCUAGAGUCUCAAUACAGGAAAACAUCAAAUUCAGAACCAAAGUUCUAUUAAAACAAAGGGAAAAAUGUUAAUGUUGUAAAAGACAAAGUAGGCUAUGAGCACGUUCCAGAUUUAAAGAAGGUUAAAGAAACACAGCAACUAAGUCCAACACCAGACUCUAGACUGGAUCCUGUACUAGAGGGGACAGUACAAUAAAGGACAUUAAUCUAGUCCACAGACAAAAUGGGCAGAUGGGCGGUAGAUUAAAAUAUUCUAUCAAUGUGAAAUUUGCUAAUGUUGGUAACUGUACUAUGGUCAAGCAGGAAAAUAUCCCUAUUUUUAGGAGAUAUAUGAAGAAGUAUUUAGGAGUCAAGAGCCAUGAGGUAUACAUAACCUAUCCUCAUAGCGUUCAGGAAAAAAAAAAAAGUGUGUGUAUUUUUAGAGAGAUCGCACAAAUGAUAAAGCAAGCAGGGUAGAACAGUAACAAAGGUGAGUCUGGGUAAAGGGUAUAUGUCUUUGUACUACUAUUAUUUUUUGCAAUUUUGAAUAUAUUUGCAAGUUUGUAUUUCAAAAAAAAAAAAAGUUUAUGUUGGAUUCUGGAUGGAAUCCUCAGUUCAGUUGAUCUCAAUGGAAACAGAAAAUCCCACCCAAGUUCCAGUAACAAUCUCUCCAAAGCCUUGAUUGUGGCUGAGGCAGGUGUGAAAGAGGACUUUUGAAGCUCUAGCUCCUCCUGGCUCAAAGACCACAGACUCGAAUGUCAUGAGCCUGGCUGUGUACACAGACUUCCGUCAGACAGAGCCCCCUGAUGCUAACUGGAGCACUGACUCAAGGGUGAGUCCACAGAAAGCUUCAGACCCUCCAAAGAAAUCUGCCCCCAGUAGAAGAGUGCCUGUUUUUCUGAACCACCACCAAUACUGAGUAGCAUCAGUCCUUUCCAUUUUUCCAAACUGAUGGGUGAAAACUGGAAAGCUGUUUUGAAUUACACUUCUUUAUUCUCAGUUGAGGCUGAAGAUUUUCAUUUGAAUAUGGACCAGUUGCAUUUUUUGUGUGUGAACUGCCUAUAUCAAUCCAUUGUCUACUUUUUAUUAGGUUUGCCUUUCUUUUACAGAUUUGAAGGGGUUUUUUUGAAAGAUUUCUUCAAGUAGUCUAGAUUUGAAUCCCUUGUCUGCUAUAUAGAUUCCAAAGGGUAUCUGUUGCUUGUCUUUUUGGCUUUGUGUAUGGUAUCUGGUAUUCUACCAGAGGCAUUUAGAGGUUUGACAUAGUAAAAUAUGUAACUCUUUUCCUUCCUUCAUGGGUUUUGGACUUUGUGGCUUGUGUGGGAAUUCCCUCCCCACCCUGUGAUUAUAAAACACUGUCUUUUCUCCUAGUUAUUUUCUAGGUUUUUUGUUUUUGUUUUUUUUUUUUUUUUAAAUAAAAUAAGGUCUUUGUUUCAUCUGGGUGGAAUGUGGUAUGAAUUCGACUUUCUCCCUGUAUGAAUACCCAACUAAGCUCACCAUUGUUGAGCUAUUAUUAUCUGACGCAGCACGCUACCCCUAUCACCUAUUCUCUGCAUAUACAGGGUUUGCUUCUGGACUCUAUUCUCGUCUCACUGCUCCACCUACUUGCAUGCUAACAGCACCUUGUUUUCAUUACCUUUAUAUGCUGCGUUAAAAGGGGCCAAGCUCAUCCUUUACUAUUCUUUUUCACAAUUUCCUUGCAGACUGUGCUUCUAGUUCAACUUCAGAAUUAGCCUGUCAAAGUUCCAAUAAACAUCUGUUGAAAUUCUGAUCAGGUUUCCUUUUGGGGAGAAGUAGCACUUUUAUAAUACUCAGCCUUCCUAUUUCUAGACAAUCCUAAGGGUCUUCACUGCCUCAGGCAUUCUUUCAUUCAGUCCCACACCUCAUACAGUGCCUGGCAAACAUUCAAGAGAUGUGUGUUGCAUAAUUUUAAGUUUCAUAUUCCCUUCAUAUAGGUUUGCAUAUAUUUUGUAAAGGUUAUUCCUAUACAUAGUUUUUGUUGCUACAAUAAAAGGAAUCUUGUUUUUCAUUUUUUCAUUGUAUCCUCUGACUAGUUGCUGGCGUAUAAGAAAGCAGCGGCUCUUUGUAUGGUGGCCUUGAAUCCGGUCACCAUUCUGAAGUAUCAUUUCUAAUAGUUUUAGUUCUCCUAAGUGUCCAGUUCAGUAAUCAUAUCCUCUACAAUAAUGUCAAUUUAGUUUCUUUCCAAUAUAAACAUAGCUUACUUCUCUGUAAAAAUGUUUUGCCUCACCUAGGCCCCCAGAGCAACGUUAACAUAGCAGUGAUAACAGGCAUCCUUGUUUAUUCCCGGCUAGAGAGGAAUUCUUUUAUCAAACAUCUAUAUAAGUAAAAUGUCAUCAUAGCCUUUUCUGUAGGUUUAUGGUAGAUAUCUAUAGAUAUUUGUUUAUAAUUCAUUUUUAAUUUGCAAGUAGUUUUAACUAUUAAUAGGAACUGGAUUUUAUUCACUGCUUUUGUGGCAUCUAUCAAGCUGACCUCACAUGUUUUUUCUUCUUUAAUCUGUUAAUGUGAUGAAGUGGUAUAUACUGGUUAAAAAGAAGGAGUGUCUACUACUUUCUGGAGUCAGAUGGGUGCUGGGACCCUGGCUCCACUACUUUCAUGCCUCUGUGACCAUGGGCAUGAAUUACUUGACCGUGCUAAGCUUCAGUUUCCACCCGCUCUGUAAAAUAGGAGUAAUAAUCCCACUUGUGAUUUAAGGCAUGUCAGGCAGUUGGCCCAGUGUCAAUAAAUAUUGGCUCAAUAAAUAUUUGUUCUUAUUAUAAAGGAUCACUAUCCUAACGUUGAACCCUUUACAAAUAAGGUAGAGAGAAUGGCAACCAAACCCACAGAAAUCAGCCACUAAAACUGGAGAGGAUUUCUAACAGGUUUGUGUGGCUCGUGAACCAAUAGAUGGAACGUAAGGUGAGGGGCAUGAACUCCCCUAUAAAACGGCACAAAAUUCUGGUGUGUGUGCUAUUUCCUGGAGAGAGUACAUAGCUUUUUCCAAAGAGUUCUAUGUCUUAGGAAAGUUACUGUUUUAGGUGGGGGGAGAUACACAAGCCAGUGGUUAAGGGCAGAUCACCACAAAAGUUCACUGCAACGUGGAGGAAGCCAGACAUCCUGGCCAGUGGAGCGGGUACCCCUUGAGCCUUGGUUCCAGUGUCAAAGCAAAUGAACAUGGGAAAGGGCCUCCCCAAAAUAACUUUCCCACCUUCUUUUUUUCUUUGUUCUCUUUCAAAAGUGCCAAUACCUGAACCAAGUCAGAUCUGCAGAAACGUGGAGACCUUCAAGAGCAAGGGAAGAAGUGCUCAGAGAGGGCCGCUUGGAUGACACCAAAGAAAAGCCUCAUCUGUGUCCUGCUUUUAUGGGCUGAGAGACUAGAAAGAGCCCACUGACUAGUCCUGUUAGAAUAAGAAGACAACAGGAACACAAGAGAUCUAAGAUAAGGAUGACGUCGCCACCUUUAAUUACUUGCCUGUUGCACAGCUUUUUGGGAAGAUUUAUGUCAAGUAUAUGAGACAAAAUGUUGACCAGCUGAGUCGCAUAGCACAACGCAGCGCUGAUCGUGUAAGCGGGGUUACUGUGCUCCAUGUCUGAGUAGAAAAACAAUCAUACACAAACAACUUUAAUUUCAACAAAAAAUACCAAUGAACCUAGGUUUCAUGAUUUGUAAUUUAAUCAUUAUGCUGUUGAUGGUUAUGUUUUGAUCCUUACUUACAAAGGGUUCAUGGCCAGACAUUAAUGUUUCAUCAUUUAUGGUUUUGUGCUGAGUAGAAUGUAACCUAAGCAUAUGGGCCUAAGCAGGCACAACAUAAAUGAAAUUAAAGUCUGAACUGCUUGGACCUGAGGAGGUAUUAUUUAUCAAAGCAGUCAGUUAAUGCUCAACUUAAGUGUCACCUUCUCGGAGAGGCCUCCCCUGACUGCCCUGUGGAAAAGCAGUCCCUUCCUGUGUAGCCCCACCCCACAAAUGGUGCUGGAUCUGUCCAGGACACACACUCAGUAAGAUGCCUUUGAUCAGUGCUUGCUUCCUGUCCUUCUACCCACAGAAAGGCAAAGGGCUACACCCGUCUUGGUGACAUCGCCCUUGUGUCACCAGCACCCAGCACUGUGCGUGACAGAAAGCACAUACUCACUAUACAUUUGCUAAAUGACUAAAUGAACAAUCUUCUUUCCACCAAAGAAACCUAUAGGGGUUUUUAAGGGUUUUUCUAUUAGGGUACUUCUAUCUCCAUGUAGGCCUGCUAAAAACAAGUUCUUUACAAAGAAACUCUAAAAACGGGAUUCACAACACGCUAAAUAUACUAACUAGUGAAGUCUUUUAUAUAAAUAGAGCAAUAUCGUCCCCUAAAAGGUGAAAUAUCUAAAAAAUAUUUCAAUCCAUCCACUGACUGGAUAUAAAACGUGGUAUAUCCACAUUACAUACAAUAGAAUACUAUUCAGUUAUAAAAAGAAUGAAAUGCUAAUACAUGCUACAAUAUGGAUGAACCUUGAAAACAUCAUGCUAUGUAAAAAAAUCGAGACACAGAAGGCCACACAUAUAUGAGCCUAUUUUUAUGAAAUAUUCAAAACAGGCACAUCUCUAGAGACAGAAAACUACAGAUCUUCCUUGACUUAUGAUGGGGCUGUGCCUUGAUACACCCAUAACUUAGCCUGGCCUGCCUUACACAGGUCCAGAACACUUCCAUUAGCCUACAGCUCGGCAAAAUCAUCUACCACAAAGCCUGUUUAUAAUAAAGUGUUGACUAUCUCAUGCUACGUAAUGAAUACCGUACAGAAAGGGAAACACCGAACAGUCAUCAGUGCGUCUACCAGCUGUUGACCCUCGUGACUGCGUGGCUGCCUGGAAGCUAUGGCCACCAGUGCCCAGCAUCACGGGAGGGUAUGUACCACAUCUCACUAGCCCAGGAAAAGAUCAAAAUUCAAAGCGUGGUUUCUACUGAAUGUGUAUGGCUUUUAUACCACCAUAACGUCAAAAAAUCCUAAGGUGAACCACUGUAAGUUAGGAUCAUCUGUAGGGGUUGCCAAGGGCUGGGAAGAGAGGGGACGGGGGAGACAGUUUCAUGCCCCGGAGUUUCCGUUUGGGGUGAUAAAAGUGCUCUGGAACUAAACAGAGGUGGUAACUGCACAAUACUGUGAACGUACUAAUGUCCCUGAAUUUUUUACACUUUAAAACUGUUCAUCUUGUUAGGUCAAUUCUAGCUCAAUUAAAAAAAUACAUAUACUUAUAAAAGUU